GCCCCUUCCCACCCACCAUUCACCCCGCUGGAACCUGAUAUGGGGAACUCUCUCACUCACGGUCCAGUUCAUUCACCUCAUUUUCUCCCUCGAACGGCUCAGAAAAGUUUUGUUCCUUAGAAUGGACGCGUUGGCCGUUCCCGCAGACAGGCAUAAAGGAUGGUACCUUUCUCUGAUGGCCCCCAAUACAAAAGGACCAACAUUUGCCUGGCUGGAUCCGUCCAGGUUCUACUGCAACUACCAGGCUCUUACAGACUGUGUCAAAGACCUUGUCAGUCCUUUCCACAGCGACACCAUUGACCUGGUUGCUGGGAUAGAUGCAAUGGGAUUCAUUCUUGGGGCGUCUGUUGCCACCACUCUUGGAAAAGGUUUCCUGGCUAUCCGUAAAGCAGGACACCUGUGUGUUGCAACCCAAAACCAAAGCUACACAGAUUACACAGGCAGAGAAAAGACUAUGGAAGUAAGACUGGAUGUGCUAAAACCAGGUGUGAGGGUGUUGUUGGUGGACCAAUGGAUAGAGACUGGAGGGACAAUGAAGGCUGCCAUCCAGCUUGUCGAGAGGCUGGGAGCCACUGUUGUAGGUGUGGCAGCUGUGGCCAUCGAAAACACUGAAGGGGGGAAGUGGAUUAAAGAAAAUUACAAAUUUUCUCACUGCAUCCCCGAAGAGCUGCAGAGCCAAAUUGAUGGGAAAUAUCUCGAUUCAUUCAAAAGCUUCAGCAGCUGAGCAAUACGUAGAAGCAAUGCACUUGAACCUCUCUUGGCCCGCAGUGUCCCACCUGUAAUGGAAAGAGUGACUGAUUUGAUUUGUUUUCCCGGGCAACCAGAUCCAAGGCUGCAUUACCCUCCGGGCAGAGCAGACAACUACACAGGAGCUCCACUGAAGUACAGCAUCAGCCCUGACUGGUCAUCCAUCCUCCGGCCUUGCUCUUGUAGUGAGACCCUGUUUCAAAUUCCAGUUUUAAAACAGUAAUUAUUUAACUUUAUAUUGAGCUCAGGUCGUAUUAUUCCAUCAUAGGAGUAUCGUAAGGCUGCAACCCACAAUAUUGUCAUUAUCAACACAUCUGAGAAUUAUUUUCUCAGAUCUAAGCUAUUGACUACUAUUGUUGUUCAGUGUAUAUAAUGUCAGAAAGUAGUGUCUGUUAUUAUUCCCAGAAGUGCAAGUUAACCCUUUAGAAUACACCAUCCCACCCACUUUGCCCUUUGGUAUCACUUGAAAUGUGUUUUAGUCACACUCUGUUUUCACACAACCUUAACAUAAUUUACAUUAUUUGAAAGCCCUCCUCUUUCUUUCUAUGCAAAGUGUUUUCCACAUAAAGGUUACCAGUGCAGGCCUUAGAUUCCCUUUUCAAUGCAAAAAAAUAAAAAUAAAAAUGGGUGAGGUGCCUCUGUAACUUUG